rnacentral:rRNA from 1 species
AACGAACGCUGGCGGCAGGCUUAACACAUGCAAGUGGAACGCAUCCUUCGGGGUGAGUGGCAGACGGGUGAGUAACGCGUGGGAACGUGCCCUUCAGUUCGGGAUAACCCAGGGAAACUUGGGCUAAUACCGGAUACGUGCGAGAGCAGAAAGAUUUAUCGCUGAAGGAUCGGCCCGCGUCUGAUUAGCUAGUUGGUAGGGUAAUGGCCCACCAAGGCGACGAUCAGUAGCUGGUCUGAGAGGAUGAUCAGCCACAUUGGGACUGAGACACGGCCCAAACUCCUACGGGAGGCAGCAGUGGGGAAUAUUGGACAAUGGGCGCAAGCCUGAUCCAGCCAUGCCGCGUGAGUGAUGAAGGCCUUAGGGUUGUAAAGCUCUUUCGUCCGGGACGAUAAUGACGGUACCGGAAGAAGAAGCCCCGGCUAACUUCGUGCCAGCCGCCGCUGUAA